rnacentral:tRNA from 1 species
GGGGCUAUAGCUCAGCUGGUAGAGCGCCUGCAUGGCAUGCAGGAGGUCGUCGGUUCGAGCCCGACUAGCUCCA